GUACUCUCUUUGGCAACACAUAUACUAAAAUUGGAAGGAUACAGAAGUUAGCAUGGACCCUGAGCAAAGAUGAUAGGAAAAUUCAUGAAGCAUUACAUAUUUUC